GAGUUUGAUCCUGGCUCAGGAUGAACGCUAGCGGCAGGCCUAACACAUGCAAGUCGAGGGGUAACAUAAAGUGCUUGCACUUUGAUGACGACCGGCGCACGGGUGAGUAACGCGUAUACAAUCUGCCUCAUACUAGGGGAUAGCCCAGAGAAAUUUGGAUUAAUACCCUAUAGUAUCAUUUAGAGUCAUCUCUUUUUGAUUAAAGGUUACGGUAUGAGAUGAGUAUGCGUUCUAUUAGUUAGUAGGUGAGGUAACGGCUCACCUAGACCACGAUAGAUAGGGGCCCUGAGAGGGGGAUCCCCCACACUGGUACUGAGACACGGACCAGACUCCUACGGGAGGCAGCAGUGAGGAAUAUUAGACAAUGGGCGAAAGCCUGAUCUAGCCAUGCCGCGUGCAGGAUGACGGCCCUAUGGGUUGUAAACCGCUUUUAUACAGGAAGAAAAAACUCUACGUGUAGAGUCUUGACGGUACUGUAAGAAUAAGGAUCGGCUAACUCCGUGCCAGCAGCCGCGGUAAUACGGAGGAUCCAAGCGUUAUCCGGAAUCAUUGGGUUUAAAGGGUCCGUAGGUGGAUAAUUAAGUCAGAGGUGAAAUCUUGCAGCUCAACUGUAAAAUUGCCUUUGAUACUGGUUAUCUUGAGUUAUUAUGAAGUAGUUAGAAUAUGUAGUGUAGCGGUGAAAUGCAUAGAUAUUACAUAGAAUACCAAUUGCGAAGGCCGAUUACUAAUAAUAUACUGACACUGAUGGACGAAAGCGUGGGUAGCGAACAGGAUUAGAUACCCUGGUAGUCCACGCCGUAAACGAUGGUUACUAGCUGUGUGGAUUUCGAUCUGCGUGGCUAAGCGAAAGUGAUAAGUAACCCACCUGGGGAGUACGUUCGCAAGAAUGAAACUCAAAGGAAUUGACGGGGGCCCUCACAAGCGGUGGAGCAUGUGGUUUAAUUCGAUGAUACGCGAGGAACCUUACCAGGGCUUAAAUGUAAGUUGCAUUAGCUAGAGAUAGCUAUUUNUUCGGACCACUUACAAGGUGCUGCAUGGUUGUCGUCAGCUCGUGCCGUGAGGUGUCAGGUUAAGUCCUAUAACGAGCGCAACCCCUGUUGUUAGUUGCCAGCGAGUAAUGUCGGGAACUCUAACAAGACUGCCGGUGCAAACCGUGAGGAAGGUGGGGAUGACGUCAAAUCAUCACGGCCCUUACGUCCUGGGCUACACACGUGCUACAAUGGUCGGUACAGAGAGCAGCCACUACGCGAGUAGGAGCGAAUCUAUAAAACCGAUCACAGUUCGGAUCGGAGUCUGCAACUCGACUCCGUGAAGCUGGAAUCGCUAGUAAUCGGAUAUCAGCCAUGAUCCGGUGAAUACGUUCCCGGGCCUUGUACACACCGCCCGUC
rnacentral:rRNA from 1 species